GACAAACCAGAAAAAAAUUG
rnacentral:rRNA from 1 species